rnacentral:rRNA from 1 species
GAGGAAUAUUGGUCAAUGGGCGAGAGCCUGAACCAGCCAAGUCGCGUGAAGGAAGACUGCCUUAUGGGUUGUAAACUUCUUUUAUACAGGAAUAAAAAGGCUUACGUGUAGGCCAUUGCAAGUACUGUAUGAAUAAGCAUCGGCUAACUCCGUGCCAGCAGCCGCGGUAAUACGGAGGAUGCGAGCGUUAUCCGGAUUUAUUGGGUUUAAAGGGUGCGCAGGCGGGCUUUUAAGUCAGCGGUGAAAUCUGGACGCUUAACGUCCAAACUGCCGUUGAAACUGGGAGUCUUGAGUAUGGAUGAAGUAGGCGGAAUUCGUUGUGUAGCGGUGACAUGCAUAGAUAUAACGAGGAACACCAGAGGCUAAGGCGAGUACCUAGGAUAUAACUGACACUGAGGCUUGAAAGCGUGGGGAGCAAAUG